CACGUAGGCACCAAGCGUUGUCCGGAUUUAUUGGGCGUAAAGAGCUCGUAGGCGGUUCGAUAAGUCGGGUGUGAAAACUUUGGGCUUAACCCAAAGCGUGCAUUCGAUACUGUUGUGACUAGAGUUCGGUAGGGGAGUGGGGAAUUCCUAGUGUAGCGGUGAAAUGCGCAGAUAUUAGGAGGAACACCCGUGGCUAAGGCGGCUCUCUAGUACGGUACUGACGCUGAGACGCGAAAGCGUGGGGAGCGAACAGG
rnacentral:rRNA from 1 species